AAAUGAAGGACUCUCCUCUCUCACACACAACUAUAUCAAUGGCCACGCGUGCAAUGAGAAGACUCGUGGAAACCUAAUCAGCAACCGGCGGCACCGUCUUCCUCUCCAUCGGCGAAUGGCGGCGGCAGCAAUGUCUUCCUCAGCGGGCUCAUCGUCGGUGGGUUAACGUGAGUGGUAGACGAAUGUCCUCUGAUCAGAUGAUUAGUUGAAAGUUUUCAACUUCCUUUUGGUUGGAAGCAGAUACAGAAAAUAUAUUAGUUUGGGUGCCCUUGAUUCGAGGUAGAAGAGGAAGCUGAACAUAGAGCAGGCAGCAAUAAGACUACUUUUUCUUGUAUUUUUCUGCAAACAGUACGUGAUACUGCUUCAAAAGAUCAUGUUUUCGGUGCAAAAGAGGCUCUUUCGCUGUCGUCUACCAAGUAACAAGUCCACUAUCCAUCUUUCCUCCCAUCAACUUUGCAAUCUGUUUAACUUCUCCACUGCUAAAGACCAAAGUUCAGAGCAUAGUUCCAACUUUAUAGUGGUCGGCUCCCUUCAUUCAUGUGAACUUUCCUCAGAGAAGGCUGCAAAAAAAGCCAAGUAUCACACCUGUCACAAAAAUUCUUCGAGUCUUUCCAUUGAGUUCUUUAAGCAGAGCGGUUGGAGUGAUGCACAAGUCAUGAAACUUAUCCAGAGGUCACCGCUGUUGCUGCGUACUAAGGUAGAAACUGUCCUGAAGCCCAGAAUGAGAUCUUUGAAGGACAUGGGAUUUUCUGACACUGAAAUAGUUCAGCUGGUUUCUUCAUGCCCAUCUGUACUACUUAUACGUGAUAUCCAACCAAAGAUCAACUUCUGGAGGUCACUACUUGGUUCUAAUGAGAGGGUACUGAAAGCCUCUAGGAGGAACUUGUUUCUACUUACUUCUAGCUUGGCUCGGAAGAUAGAACCUAAUAUAUCUCUCUUAAGGGAAUGUGGCAUCAGUGACAAUCGCAUCGCUUGUAUGGUGGUGACAAAGCCGACCAUUAUGGGUCGAUCAAACAAAUAUAUAAAGGAAGCUAUCAAAUAUGUUGAGGAGUUGGGUGUGCCACGUAACUGUGGAAUGUUCCCUUAUGCACUUAGUAUAGUCACUGGCAUGAGCCGAUCCAAGUUUGAUGAUACCUUUGCAACCCUGAUGAACUUUGGGUUCUCCCUGCAAGACAUCAUUGCUGUAUUCAGGAAGCAUCCAACCAUUUGGUUUUUGUCAAAGAAGAACAUAUGUGACAAGAUGACUUUCCUGAUGAAGGAAGCUGGUUGUGAGCUGACAUAUAUCAUUUCCCAUCCUGCAAUUCUUGCAUACAGCUUGGAGAAGAGGUUGAAACCUCGAUAUGAAAUUCUGAAUAUUCUUGAGCAGAAUAAAUUGCUGGAUAAAGUAUAUGGCCUGCUACCCAUGAUAUUGCUAUCUGAAAAGAAGUUCCAAAAUAAAUUUCUUUUCCUGCUUUGCGAGGAGAAAUAUAUUGCUCUAUAUGAUUCCUAUGUUGCUGCUGUGCAUGGAAAGCACCAUGUUGUUGUGGAAAAUUAGGAUUGCCAGUGCUUCCUUAGACAAAGUGUGAACCUAUUGCAUACUGACUGUAUUAUUUAAUCAUGUAAAAUUUGUGACGAUUUAAAUUUCUCUAAGAGGAGCUUCGUACAGUAGAACGUCUAUGUUGAUUUUGAGAUUUCUUUUCUUUUGAUUUUUCGGUUCAACAAAAGAUACUGAUUCUUUAAUGCAUAAAUAUAGAGAACCAAGUGGGAGAAGUCAUUGUUUAAGAAAGAAACAAAGGUAACUAAAAUAUUUCAGUUCUGUCAGUUGGUCAGUGUCCACUUCAUUGAGAGCUAGUUACUUAGGAGAGUAUGAUUUGAAGAUAUCCUCCAACCCUUAUAAAUAUGCAUGAGAUCACACAUUAAGAAUUUAAGAGCCAUCGGCCCAACUCAAGCUUGCUUCUUAAUGUUCAAUUAAAUGCAAAAAGCAAUAUAUAUGGUUUAAGGUAACAACACUCUCUCGAGUGAAGUGAACGGGUCUCGGCGCCCACCUGAUUCAAAUCAGAGAGGACUAUAUUCGAUCUGAGCCCAACAUAAGUCACUGGAUCUGGUUCGAUGGAACCAAAUGAAGGACUCUCCUCUCUCACACACAACUAUAUCAAUGGCCACGCGUGCAAUGAGAAGACUCGUGGAAACCUAAUCAGCCACCGGCGGCACCGUCUUCCUCUCCAUCGGCGACUGGCGGCGGCAGCAAUGUCUUCCUCAGCGGGCUCAUCGUCGGUGGGUUAACGUGAGUGGUAGACGAAUGUCCUCUGAUCAGAUGAUUAGUUGAAAGUUUUCAACUUCCUUUUGGUUGUAAGCAGAUACAGAAAAUAUAUUAGUUUGGGUGCCCCUGAUUUGAGGUAGAAGAGGAAGCUGAACAUAGAGCAGGCAGCAAUAAGACUACUUUUCUUGUAUUUUUCUGCAAACAGUACGUGAUACUGCUUCAAAAGAUCAUGUUUUUGGUGCAAAAGAGGCUCUUUCGCUGUCUCCCAAGUAACAAGUCCACUAUCCAUCUUUCCUCCCAUCAACUUUGCAGUCUGUUUAACUUCUCCACUGCUAAAGACCAAAGUUCAGAGCAUAGUUCCAACUUUAUUGUGGUCGACUCCCUUCAUUCGUGUGAACUUUCCUCAGAGAAGGCUGCAAAAAAAGCCAAGUAUCACACCUGUCACAAAAAUUCUUCGAGUCUUACCAUUGAGUUCUUUAAGCAGAGCGGUUGGAGUGAUGCACAAGUCAUGAAACUUAUCCAGAAGUCACCGCGGUUGCUGCGUACUAAGGUAGAAACUGUCCUGAAGCCCAGAAUGAGAUCUUUGAAGGACAUGGGAUUUUCUGACACUGAAAUAGUUCAGCUAGUUUCAUCAUGUCCAUCUGUACUAAUACGUGAUAUCCAACCGAAGAUCAACUUCUGGAGGUCACUACUUGGUUCUAAUGAGAGGUUACUGAAAGCCUCUAGGAGGAACAUGUUUCUACUUACUUCUAGCUUGGCUCGGAAGAUAGAACCUAAUAUAUCUCUCUUAAGGGAAUGUGGCAUCAGUGACAAACGCAUCGCGUAUAUGGUGGUGACAAAGCCGACCAUUAUUGGUCGAUCAAACAAAUAUAUAAAGGAAGCUAUCAAAUAUGUUGAGGAGUUGGGUGUGCCAUGUAACUGUAGAAUGUUCCCUUAUGCACUUAGUAUAGUCACUGGCAUGAGCCGAUCCAGGUUUGAUGAUACCUUUGCAACCCUGAUGAACUUUGGGUUAUCCCGGCAAGACGUCAUUGCUGUAUUCAGGAAGCAUCCAACCAUUUGGGUUUUGUCAAAGAAGAACAUAUGUGACAAGAUGACAUUCCUGAUGAAGGAAGCUGGUUGUGAGCUGACAUAUAUCGUUUCCCAUCCUGUGUUUCUUGCAUGCAGCUUGGAGAAGAGGUUGAAACCUCGAUAUGAAAUUCUGAAUUUUCUUGAGCAGAAUAAAUUGCUGGAUAAAGUAUAUGGCCUGCUGUCCCUGAUAACGUUAUCUGAAAAGAAGUUCCGUAAGAAAUUUCUUUUCCUGCUUCGUGAGGAGAAAUCUAUUGCUCUGUAUGAUUCCUAUUUGAAAUCUGUUGCUCUAUAGGAUUCCUAUGUUGCUGCUGGGCAUGGAAAGCACCAUGUUGUUUGGGAAAAUUAGGAUUGCAUGUGCUUCCUCAGACAAAGUGUGAACUUAUUGCGCACUUAUUUAAUCAUGUUAAAUUUGUGACAAUUUAAAUUCUCCAAGGAGCUUCUUUUCUUU